AGGAUGAACGCUGGCGGCGUGCUUAACACAUGCAAGUCGAACGGUGAAGCAGGAGCUUGCUCCUGUGGAUCAGUGGCGAACGGGUGAGUAACACGUGAGAAAUCUGCCCUGGACUCUGGGAUAAGCGUUGGAAACGACGUCUAAUACCGGAUACGAGCUUCAGCCGCAUGGCUAGGAGCUGGAAAGAACUUCGGUCCAGGAUGAUCUCGCGGCCUAUCAGCUAGUUGGUGAGGUAACGGCCCACCAAGGCGACGACGGGUAGCCGGCCUGGAGAGGGUGACCGGCCACGACGUGGGACUGGAGACACGGCCCAGACUCCGUACGGGAGGCAGCAGUGGGAAUAUUGCACAAUGGGACGCAAGCCUGAUGCAGCAACGCCGCGUGAGGGACGACGGCCGUUACGGUUCGUAAACCGUUCGUUUUACGGUAAGGUAAGAAGACGAAAGGUCGAACGGUACC
rnacentral:rRNA from 1 species